rnacentral:sRNA from 1 species
CUCCUGCCUAGCUCGACGGGGCGAAAAGCCGGACACCUUCACCGGCCUGGCAGGGGCUCCCAAAUUGAAGG